rnacentral:rRNA from 1 species
AUUGAACGCUGGCGGCAGGCCUAACACCUGCAAGUCGAGCGGAGCGGCGGACGGGGGAGUAAUGCCUAGGAAUAUGCCUGGUAGUGGGGGAUAACGUCCGGCAACGGGCGCUAAUACCGCAUACUAUCAGAUCAGCCUAGGUCGGAUUAGCUCGUUGGUGGGGGAAAGGCCUACCAGGGCGAAGAUCCGUAGCUGGUCUGAGAGGAUGAGCAGUCACACUGGAACUGAGACACGGUCCAGACGCCUACGGGAGGCAGCAGGGGGGAAAAUUGGACAAUGGGCGAAAGCCUGAUCCAGCCAUGCCGCGUGUGUGAAGAAGGUCUUCGGAUUGUAAAGCACUUUAAGUUGGGAGGCGUGACCAACAGAAUAAGCACCGGCUAACUUCGUGCCAGCAGCCGCGGUAAUAC